rnacentral:rRNA from 1 species
UACGGGGGGGGCAAGCGUUGUUCGGAAUUACUGGGCGUAAAGGGUUCGUAGGUGGCCAACUAAGUCAUACGUGAAAUCCCUCAGCUUAACUGGGGAACUGCGUCUGAUACUGGUUGGCUUGAGUGCAGGAGAGGAACGCGGAAUUCCAGGUGGAGCGGUGAAAUGCGUUGAUAUUCACAGGAACUCCGGUGGCGAAGGCGGCUCGCUGGAUCUUUUCUGACGCUGAGGCGCGAAAGCUAGGGGAGCAAACGGG